rnacentral:rRNA from 1 species
AAACAUUGAUAGUUAGCUACACCCACUAUCCGCCCGGGGACUACGAGCAUCAGCUUGAAACCCAAAGGACUUGGCGGUGCUUUAGAUCCACCUAGAGGAGCCUGUUCUAGAACCGAUUACCCCCGUUCAACCUCACCUUUCCUUGUUUCCCCCGCCUAUAUACCACCGUCGUCAGCUUACCCUGUGAAGGACUUAUAGUAAGCAAGAUUGGCACAGCCCAAAACGUCAGGUCGAGGUGUAGCGUAUGGAAAGGGAAGAAAUGGGCUACAUUCCCUAAUAUAGUGAAAUACGAACGAUACACUGAAAUACGUAUCUGAAGGAGGAUUUAGCAGUAAGCAGAAAAUAGAGCGU